rnacentral:rRNA from 1 species
CCCUUAGAUGUUCUGGGCCGCACGCGCGCUACACUGAUGCAUUCAACGAGCCUAUCCUUGACCGACAGGUCCGGGUAAUCUUUGAAUCUGCAUCGUGACGGGGAUAGAUUAUUGCAAUUAUUAAUCUUCAACGAGGAAUGCCUAGUAGGCGCAAGUCAUCAGCUUGCGUCGAUUACGUCCCUGCCCUUUGUACACACCGCCCGGCGCUCCUACCGAUUGGGUGUGCUGGUGAAAUGUUCGGAUCGGCCGUUUGUCGCGGUUUCCGCGUCAUGUGGCUGAGAAGUUCAUUAAACCCUCCCACCUAGAGGAAGGAGAAGUCGUAACA